rnacentral:rRNA from 1 species
AGCUGAGGAAAAUAAACCAACAGGGAUUGCCCUAGUAACGGCGAGUGAACAGGCAAGAGCUCAGAUUUGAAAGGCACUUUUGUGCCGUUGUAUUCUGAAGUUAGGGUCCUGAGAAACGAUGCUUAAGUCUUCUGGAAAGGAGCGCCAUGGAGGGUGAUAGCCCCGUCUAGCAUUGACCUCAUAUAGGAUCUUAACAUGGAGUCGAGUUGUUUGGGAAUGCAGCUCAAAUGGGUGGUAUGCUCCAUCUAAAGCUAAAUAUCUGCGAGAGACCGAUAGUAAACAAGUACUGUGAGGGAAAGAUGAAAAGAACUUUGAAAAGAGAGUGAAAAAGUACGUGAAAUUGUUGAAAUGGAAGGGUAGGCCGCUAACCAUGUAGAGCCGUGUUUGGGGGGAAGAUAAAUGCUGUAGAAUGUAGCUCCUCGGAGUAUUAUAGAUGCAGUUCAUAUUCCCACCCGAGCGCGAGGAUCUCAGGUUCUACUAAAUGGUGGUCUACCACCCGUCUUAA